AUAAUAGAACUGCAGACCUGGAGGUUGGUCACUGCUGCAUGGUUCCUGAGAUGUGCCUGGCGUGCAUAUGUUAAGUCUGCAGAGUCCAUAUUUGAGAUGGUUCAAGCAACUAUCAUAUUCGAGGACAUGAUUAAGACAGAGUACUUGAAGAAUGAUUGGUGGUAUUGGUCAUCCCUAUCUGCUGCAGCCAAGAGCCCUACUGUUACCUCCCUUGCUCUUCGAAUAUACACACUGGACUCCACCAUUGUUUAUCAGAAGGUUCUACCCACUUUGGAUCCAAUAGACAAUCCAAAGCCAAACAACAAACCAGGCAAGAAAAGCAUGCAUGUCUUGUUAUCUGAGGACUCGAACCAAAUCUAAUAUAAUCCUCUGUGGCAAUGUGAGGUGGCAGCAGGACGACCUUGUACAAUGUGAAGGAAACUUCCAACUUCAUUGUGGUUUGUGGGUCCAAGGGUCAUUGAGGAUAAAGAUAGAAAUUUGGGGAAAGUUACUCACACUGUUGCCUCCUUUUUGUACAUAUAAAGCGUUCCUAACAGGCUAACACACUAACAUGGAUGUUGGAUCAGGAAGAAUUCGUUGAAGUGGGCUUCUAUGGAGGUUUGAAGAAGCAUUUUGAAUGAACUGCAACAGCAGUAAUUGGGACGUAUUAUUCCGAGGGAGGAUGAUGAGACCACCCCCCUAAGAGCCAGAUCAACAUCCACAUACAAAGGGAACCAGUGUAUAAAAAAAAA